rnacentral:rRNA from 1 species
GACGAACGCUGGCGGCGUGCUUAACACAUGCAAGUCGAACGGAAAGGCCCUUCGGGGUACUCGAGUGGCGAACGGGUGAGUAACACGUGGGUGAUCUGCCCUGCACUUUGGGAUAAGCCUGGGAAACUGGGUCUAAUACCGAAUAGGACCACGCGCUUCAUGGUGUGUGGUGGAAAGCUUUUGCGGUGUGGGAUGGGCCCGCGGCCUAUCAGCUUGUUGGUGGGGUAAUGGCCUACCAAGGCGACGAUGGGUAGCCGGCCUGAGAGGGUGACCGGCCACACUGGGACUGAGAUACGGCCCAGACUCCUACGGGAGGCAGCAGUGGGGAAUAUUGCACAAUGGGCGCAAGCCUGAUGCAGCGACGCCGCGUGAGGGAUGACGGCCUUCGGGUUGUAAACCUCUUUCAAUAGGGACGAAGCGCAAGUGACGGUACCUAUAGAAGAAGCACCGGCCAACUACGUG